UACGUAGGGUGCAAGCGUUAUCCGGAAUUAUUGGGCGUAAAGAGCUCGUAGGCGGUUUGUCGCGUCUGCUGUGAAAACUGGAGGCUCAACCUCCAGCCUGCAGUGGGUACGGGCAGACUAGAGUGCGGUAGGGGAGAUUGGAAUUCCUGGUGUAGCGGUGGAAUGCGCAGAUAUCAGGAGGAACACCGAUGGCGGAAGGCAGAUCUCUGGGCCGUAACUGACGCUGAGGAGCGAAAGCAUGGGGGAGCGAACAGG
rnacentral:rRNA from 1 species